GGGACCCAGAGUCAAGAUUAUCAAGAGCCCCAUUUUCGACCACACAGUUUGCAGAAAUAAAGAACAGUACAAAAUUCUAACAAAAAUGGAGAACUGAUAUUACUCUCACAUCAAAGGUGUGGGAAAGGCAUAGAUAAUGGGAUGUACUCCAUUAGAGACAACUGACGACCUCUUCUCACUGAACAGCUUUUCGGGCUGAAGGUGUGAGACCAGCAGGGACCAGGUAAAGAAAAGCAGUAGUGAGUGACACUGGUUUCCAGUUUCUUCUUUUAAGUCAUCAGGCUAUUGGAUUAACCCCAUUUCAAGUUGGGCUCCGGGAACAUACAUUGGAAAUCAGCCUAGUACGUCUGAGCUGAAACUAAUGUUGCAACAGGGGUGUCAGUCUUGGGCAAUAAAAAACCUCUGAUCUCAUCUCUGCACGGUGGGUUAGCUUAACUCUAAUCAUGGACUAUAAAAGAAUUCUCAAUUAAGAUUCUCCACUCAGACUCAUUUAUGCUGAAGUUUGGAGUUGCCAGAUAUAACCUAUAUGUGAAUUAGGUCACAGUGCAAGUGUUCCAAAAUCUUUGAACUUUCACAAAUGUGUAAAAAUAUGCUUUACACUAUAAAUUAACACUACGGCUGAUGUACAGUGUUGUAGCUGUAGUGUUAACUUUGUAAUCUCAACCAAUGAGUAAUGGUAGCUAACACUGGCUGUUGGUGAAUGUGAUUAUACCAGCCAUGCUAGAAGUUCCUAACUAAAUUAAUUGUAAAUAUUAAAACAAGAAAAGUCUGGGCAGUUGUAUCUGCACUGUGUUCUUCUAGCACCCCACUGUUUUACUGAGAGGCUAUUAUUCUUUUGAUUGGGCCCAGCAGGUUGUGGAGCUCCUCAAAAAUAAAUGAAAAAGCCCUACACCACUGUCAACAUUUUUCUUUUCUACUUUUUUUUUUGUUAAUUAUUAUUAAUGUUUGAUGUAGAAUGUACCCCAGAAAAUUGUUUCUGUAACUAAUAAAAAUCUAUGAAAAUUUC